GACGAACGCUGGCGGCGUGCCUAAUACAUGCAAGUAGGACGCUGAAGAGAGGAGCUUGCUCUUCUUGGAUGAGUUGCGAACGGGUGAGUAACGCGUAGGUAACCUGCCUUGUAGCGGGGGAUAACUAUUGGAAACGAUAGCUAAUACCGCAUAACAAUGGAUGACACAUGUCAUUUAUUUGAAAGGGGCAAUUGUUCCACUACAAGAUGGACCUGCGUUGUAUUAGCUAGUAGGUGAGGUAAUGGCUCACCUAGGCGACGAUACAUAGCCGACCUGAGAGGGUGAUCGGCCACACUGGGACUGAGACACGGCCCAGACUCCUACGGGAGGCAGCAGUAGGGAAUCUUCGGCAAUGGGGGCAACCCUGACCGAGCAACGCCGCGUGAGUGAAGAAGGUUUUCGGAUCGUAAAGCUCUGUUGUAAGUCAAGAACGGGUGUGAGAGUGGAAAGUUCACACUGUGACGGUAGCUUACCAGAAAGGGACGGCUAACUACGUG
rnacentral:rRNA from 1 species